rnacentral:lncRNA from 1 species
GUACUCAUAAGUUGUUUUCGAUGAUAAAGCUUCCGAAUUGACAAUCCAUACCGUUAAACAUUAUCUAGAGCAUUUAAAACUUCUAAAAAUCAAAUUUUAUAAUAUUUUGGUAUUAUUUACCUUACGAUUAAAAGCUCACAAAAUUGACAUUUUUAACGGCCGGUACGAGAUAUUUGCUAGUUUAACGAUGAAAAAAAAUCGAAAUAGAUUGAAUUUUUGAUAGAAAAUUCUAUUCACUACCUAAAUAAAGAUUAAUAACUCCGAUCUUAAAUUGAAGGAUCCGAUCAUCCAUUUUUAGGAUGUCGUUCGAUUUUAACCGUUCAUUUUAUUCACGCUUGAUGGACUUUAUAAUGAUUUCGAAAAAUUACAAAAUUUAUUUUCUAGAAGUUUCAAAUACUCUACAUUAUGUUUAACGGUGUGGAUCGUCGAUUCGAAAAUUUCAAUAUUGAAAACAACUUAUGAGUAGAAGGGCUCUAUACUCAUAAGAGUAUAGUAGCCCUACUCUAUGGGCGUGUUUGGUUCGCUAAAUAUUAACCCCGGAAUCAGAAUCGGAAUGAUCCAUUCCGAUUCUAGAUGUUUGGUACGCCGUAAUCUCAUUCCAAUUUCGUUUUCAUUCCGGAAUGGGAAUAGGCUAAUCCGGGUAGAAACGUGUCACGCCCCGGGGUCCCUUUCGAUUUAAGAGAUAGCGGAAAAGCGUCUGAAAUUUUUUUUUUAAAAAAACCUGACCCCAGAGUAUGUCAGAUCCGCCACAAAUAUAGGAGAUCCACUAUUCACACGGACAGAGUCUCCUCUGUAUUCGCACGGCGUCGCACAAGUACAAGAAUACAACCAGGAUACAACCACAACUAGAUGAAUAUAAAGAUCACUAUACAUUCAUACAUUCACCAUUCACAUCACAGUUUUACAUUCAAUGUUUAAACAGAAAUCCAUGAAAAAAAUUCUUUUGAAAACUGUUUCCUACACGGAAACCUUUAUUCUUUAAAAACGCUACCACGAAGGGUAGAAAAGCUUUUAUUACAUUCAUGAAAAUCCACAUAUUCAAAUGUAAUAAAAAUACUGAACCAUAUAAACUAUCUAAGCUAUAUAUCAACAGAAAUAAAAAGGGUAAGAGCUAAACCGAACGACCUGGGUCGGAAGAUCUAUCGACCGCUACGUACGUGUCUCACGUCUCGUCUAAACCUCACCGCCUGCAAUACCUGAAA